CAGACCCAGUGAAACUAGUAAAUACACCCAAAUUAAACGAGAACUAAUAUUGUAUUAUUGUUGGCUUCAAAAUCCAACAUUUGUUCUCCUUCUGUUUGUGUAUUUGUUUCUAGUAAAACUUUGGUUUAUGAUGCAAUACAACUUACGAUGGUCGAUACAACGUAGUUUAUAAAAGUCUUCAUAACCCUACCAGUGCAUUAAACAUCAAAAUUUACAUAUUCUGACUUCUGAUGACAAAGAUCCAGUGCCUCUCUAAGUAACCAACCACCAAGAGCUCUAGUUUAGGCCAUGACUUUACUCAUUGGCCAUGUGAUCGUAUCUUCUUCCUCUCUCUCUUUUUUUCAUCUUUUUC